GAGGGUAUAGCUCAGUGGUAAAGUGAGCAUGCACAAGGUCCUGGGUUCAAACCCCAGUACCUCCU
rnacentral:tRNA from 1 species